rnacentral:misc_RNA from 1 species
GAGAAACAAGAGGGAGGAAAAACAGAACUCAACCACUCUCAAAUCUCGAUUUCGAAGCUAAAACCCUAAAUUCAUUUAGCUUGAAUUCCUCCCCAUUUCUCUCCGCUCGUUGAUUUUCCUUCAUUUUCUCUAUCUCUGUGCUUCGCAUUGUUCAUUAGAUCAGAGGAAAAGGAAGAAGAAAAAGAAAAAUCUCUCUCGCCCUUCUCUUUCUCUCUCAUUUUCCGGGAAAAGUUUUCGGAUCUUUGCG